GGCGAACGGGUGAGGAACACGUGAGAAAUCUGCCUUCAACACUGGGAUAACUCCGGGAAACCGGGGCUAAUACCGGAUAUGAAAUCUGCGGGCAUCCGCGGAUUUGGAAAGUUUUUCGGUUGAAGAUGAUCUCGCGGCCUAUCAGCUUGUUGGUGAGGUAAUGGCUCACCAAGGCGACGACGGGUAGCCGGCCUGAGAGGGCGACCGGCCACACUGGGACUGAGACACGGCCCAGACUCCUACGGGAGGCAGCAGUGGGGAAUAUUGGGCAAUGGAGGAAACUCUGACCCAGCGACGCCGCGUGCGGGAUGAAGGCCUUCGGGUUGUAAACCGCUUUCAGCAGGGAAGAAGCGAAAGUGACGGUACCUGCAGAAGAAGCACCGGCUAACUAUGUGCCAGCAGCCGCGGUAAUACAUAGGGUGCAAGCGUUGUCCGGAAUUAUUGGGCGUAAAGAGCUCGUAGGUGGUUCGUCACGUCGGAUGUGAAAAUCUGGGGCUUGACCCCAGACCUGCAUUCGAUACGGGCGAGCUUGAGUAUGGUAGGGGAGUCUGGAAUUCCUGGUGUAGCGGUGGAAUGCGCAGAUAUCAGGAGGAACACCAAUGGCGAAGGCAGGACUCUGGG
rnacentral:rRNA from 1 species